rnacentral:rRNA from 1 species
AUGGCAAAAUAUUGGUGGAGUAGUUCUCUCGACCGGCGCUCGUUGCAUUGGGUUGAUUGGCAGACACUCGCAUCACCGAAGGUACAAUGAGGGAUGGGUUUUCAGAAUCUUGAGAUGUUUAACUUGGCCAUGCUAGGCAAGCACGGAUGGAGACUGAUCACAAACCCAGACUCUCUUUGUGGUCCUGUGUUGAAGGGGAAGUAUUUCCCUCUCACGGACUUCAUGCAUGCUACUGUACCAAAGAACGCCUCGGCUACCUGGCGUGCUAUUAUAGCAGGGAGGGAGGCGCUCAAAGUGGGUUUGGUUAGGCGCAUUGGGGAUGGCUCCUCGGUGUCAAUGUGGAAUGAUACUUGGAUCCAAGGGAAGCUCUCCAUGAAGCCAUCAAUGCAGGUUGGAAGUGACACAUUACACACAGUCUCCGAUCUCAUUGACAGUGACUCUUGGUUAUGGAAGGUGGAUAUUGUCAGGAGGAAUUUUAUCGCUCCCGAUGCUGAUGCUAUCUUGAACAUACCAUUGCGGCAAGGGGGAGGUGAGGACUUCUGGGCAUGGGCGUGGGAGAAGAUGGGUGUCUAUACUGUAAAAUCUGCGUAUCGGGCUCUUAUGACUCGCAACGAGCACUUAGCUCUAGAGGAAGGGACGACUACGGGUACUUCAAAGACAGAAAACAGUUAUGGUCAAGGUUGUGGAAGCUACAAGUGGUACCUAAAGUUCGUGUGUUCUGUUGGUGAAUUCUAUGGGGAAUCCUUCCUGUCGAGCGAACACUGCAGCACAGACAUAUAG